rnacentral:rRNA from 1 species
GCGGACGGGUGAGGAAUGCAUCGGAAUCUACUCUGUCGUGGGGGAUAACGUAGGGAAACUUACGCUAAUACCGCAUACGACCUACGGGUGAAAGCAGGGGAUCUUCGGACCUUGCGCGAUUGAAUGAGCCGAUGCCCGAUUAGCUAGUUGGCGGGGUAAGAGCCCACCAAGGCGACGAUCGGUAGCUGGUCUGAGAGGAUGAUCAGCCACACUGGAACUGAGACACGGUCCAGACUCCUACGGGAGGCAGCAGUGGGGAAUAUUGGACAAUGGGCGCAAGCCUGAUCCAGCCAUACCGCGUGGGUGAAGAAGGCCUUCGGGUUGUAAAGCCCUUUUGUUGGGAAAGAAAAGCAUUCGGUUAAUACCCGAUUGUUCUGACGGUACCCAAAGAAUAAGCACCGGCUAACUUCGUGCCAGCAGCCGCGGUAAUACGAAGGGUGCAAGCGUUACUCGGAAUUACUGGGCGUAAAGCGUGCGUAGGUGGUUGUUUAAGUCUGUCGUGAAAGCCCUGGGCUCAACCUGGGAAUUGCGAUGGAAACUGGGCGACUAGAGUGUGGCAGAGGGUAGUGGAAUUCCUGGUGUAGCAGUGAAAUGCGUAGAGAUCAGGAGGAACAUCCGUGGCGAAGGCGACUGCCUGGGCCAACACUGACACUGAGGCACGAAAGCGUGGGGAGCAAACAGGAUUAGAUACCUGGUAGUCCACGCCCUAAACGAUGCGAACUGGAUGUU